rnacentral:rRNA from 2 species
UACGUAGGGGGCAAGCGUUGUCCGGAUUUACUGGGCGUAAAGCGCGUGUAGGCGGAAGCGCAAGUCCGGUGUGAAAGCCCCCGGCUCAACCGGGGAAGGUCGCUGGAAACUGCGCUUCUUGAGGACGACAGAGGGAAGUGGAAUUGCUGGUGUAGCGGUGAAAUGCGUAGAGAUCAGCAGGAACACCCGUGGCGAAGGCGGCUUCCUGGGUCGUGCCUGACGCUGAGACGCGAAAGCGUGGGGAGCGAACGGG